UUUCUGUUUACUGAAACAUUGUUAACAUAAGAUAUAUAUAUAUAAUAUUAUGCAACAGAAAUGUCCUAUCUCUGCAAGAAAUAGGUAUAUGGAGUGGCUUCAACUAAUAUAUUUAUAACGUCAUAUUUAUUUAUUUAUUUAUUAUUCUGAAAACCAAAACAUAUUUAUGAAAGAUAACCUUAAUACCAAGUAGAAUUUCAUAUUUCACACCUUUUGGAAUAUUUUAUUCCAAGUACACCUUGUGUAUGAACUAUAUCAACACUGCUAAACACUGCUAAUAUUAUACAUACAUAUGUGUGUGUGUGUUACUUUAUUUCUCAAGAGUGUUUAUAUGUUUAUAAUAGUUAUAAAACUAAUAUAUGAAUAUUUGUUUCUACACACACACAAAUACACGCAUGGCCAGUUGCUUGACUGUUCAGGAGCAAGCUAAGAUAGCAGUACACUAUGAAGUGUGAAAUUCCAUUGUUUUGGUUCAGAAAUGAUGGCAUACAUGGAAAGGCAAGCAUGCAACACUGCAUCCGGAGACAAUAAAAAGUUGUCACGCAAAGCUGACAACCAUGGGCUCUGUGAAUGAUGCAAGAAGUAGCAGCUGUCCAACCACAUCCCAAUCAGCGGAGAAUGUGGUAACAGUGCAGGAAAUGUUUAAUUGCAGCCUGCAAAAAUCAACACGUCAAGCAGCUUGUGAAAGUGGACUAACAAGACACAAGAACAAAUUGUCAUAAAAGGUGCAAUUUUGGUGACUAUGACAUGAUUGUAAAUUGGUUUUCAAGUCAGCCAGAUGGAUGACAUAGAAAGCUGACAUGCUGCCAGGCCAUGCUACAUUGCACAGGAUUGGAAAGGUGAAACAUCAACAGGGCACUUCUGGAGAAUGGAUGAAUGGAUUUUUUGUGCCUUUAUGCAGCAGUACACACAUGCAUAUGGCUCAGUGGCGCGCGGGAUGGUAACAUGAAGCAUCAACAGGGUGCCACCAAAGAUUUUAAUGUUCUUCUCAGUUCUUUUGCCGAAUUGGACAAAAAGGUUUUCAUGAAAUAUUAUAUGCUACUUAUAAUGCAUAAGUAGUGUCAAUAUUUUAUCAUCAGAAAAUGGCCUAAAACAAAGAUAAAGCCAAGUGCAGUAUACUGAAGUCUGAUUAAUCUGCAUUUUUGGGUGGCCCACAGUCAGCAUCAGAAAUUUUUUUUAGCCAACAACAAUUCAUGGAACCUGAUUAAUGUUUGUUGAAAAUUUGGAGAAAAGUAACAGGAUACUCUUCAAAUUAGGGGCCUUAAUGCUGUAAAAAUGCUUCAAAAAUGCAGUUUAUUUGCCCAUGGGCCCGUAUUAGGUAAGAAGUUGAAAAUGUUUGGGGCCCAUGGCACUCCAUGGAUCUUAUGUAAUGCAUGUGUAAAACUUCAUUAAAAUCAGUUGGGUGGAUCUCAAGUUUUAAUGACAUAACACAUGAUAUAUAGAUAUAUAUACGACAGGCUUCUUUCAGUUUCUGUCUACCAAAUCCACUCACAAGUCUUUGGUUAGCCCAAGGCUAUAGUAGAUGAUUCUUGUUCAAGGUGUCACACAGUGGGACUCAACCCCAAAUCAUGUGGUUGAGAAGCAAGCUUCUUACCACACAGUCACACCUAUGCAGAAUUUUCUCUUUAAUUAAUGUUAUGUUAAUAGAUUUUUCAAAAACCUGUUGUAAUAUGUAAUUUAAAACUAAGUUUAUUCGGAUGGGAUGAAAAAUCCAUGAAAAACAAAUUUACUGGGCUGUGCAGAAUCAUUUAGUUGAGGAAAAUUAUGUUCUAUGCUUUUCAUAUCUAAAGAUAGUCUGAUUUCACAUAAGCAUUAAACAAGCCUUUUAAGUACUUGGCCACAACUCAACCAUUGUACAUAAACCAUUAUAAACUGAUUCAACAUCAUAUAAAAAUAAAUUAAAUUCUCAUUUAAGCAAAGCCUUGACAGCAACCAGAUUGACUAUGCGUACCUUGUCACAGGCUUGAAACCUUUAAAUCCUACUUGUGCAUGCAGUAUUUCCUGUUGUAUAAUACAAGUGAGUGAAAUAAGAGAUAUGACCAACAACUUGCUUCUGACUAAUUCACUUAUCUACUCUAUGACUGUGUCCUUAUGAAACUCAUCAAAUAAAACAGGUGCACAUUUAACAAAAGCUUCUUUA